rnacentral:rRNA from 1 species
ACUCCUACGGGAGGCCAGCAGUAGGGAAUUUUCCACAAUGGACGAAAGUCUGAUGGAGCAACGCCGCGUGAACGAAGAAGGCCUUCGGGUUGUAAAGUUCUGUUGUAAGGGGAGAAAGAUACGUAUAGGAAAUGAUACGUAGAUGACGGUACCUUACCAGAAAGCCACGGCUAACUACGUGCCAGCAGCCGCGGUAAU